rnacentral:tRNA from 1 species
AAUUAACUAGUCUAUAAAGACCCCUACUUUGAAAGUGGGAAAUAAUGAUUAACCUCAUUGUUAAUUU